ensembl:snRNA Rnu6-641 RNA, U6 small nuclear 641
GUGCUCACUUUGGCGGUACAUAUACUAAAAUUGGAACAAUACAGAGAAGAUUAACAUGGCCCCUGCACAAGGAUAACAAACAAAUUCAUGAAGUGUUCCAUAUUUUU